rnacentral:rRNA from 1 species
GUCCACGCAGUAAACGAUGAAUACUCGCUGUUGGCGAUAUACCGUCAGCGGCUAAGCGAAAGCAUUAAGUAUUCCACCUGGGGAGUACGCCGGCAACGGUGAAACUCAAAGGAAUUGACGGGGGCCCGCACAAGCGGAGGAACAUGUGGUUUAAUUCGAUGAUACGCGAGGAACCUUACCCGGGCUUAAAUUGCACAGGAAUAAUUUGGAAACAGAUUCGUCUUCGGACCUGUGUGAAGGUGCUGCAUGGUUGUCGU